UACAGAGGUCUCGAGCGUUGUUCGGAUUCAUUGGGCGUAAAGGGUGCGUAGGUGGCGCUGUAAGUCGGGUGUGAAAUUUCGGAGCUUAACUCCGAAACUGCAUUCGAUACUGCCGUGCUUGAGGACUGGAGAGGAGACUGGAAAUUUACGGUGUAGCGGUGAAAUGCGUAGAUAUCGUAAGGAAGACCGUGGCGAAGGCGGGUC
rnacentral:rRNA from 1 species